rnacentral:lncRNA from 1 species
CGCGACUGCACGUACUGGCUCCGUCGGAAUCUUCAAAGCUGCUAGGUGGCGCCAGUUGCAAAAGCGCCAGAGUUUGUCUAUACCUCUCUGGAGAAGGAAGGAAGACGAGAGGGCCUUUUUUCUUUUGUUUCGGCUGUGGGCAGGGCUUCAAAAUUUGGGUCUCUUAUUGUUAGUCCAAUUGUUAAAUGAAAAUAAUCCAAUUAGCCAAUAAAAUUGAAUCAAAUGCCCAAAUCAACUGAUCCCAUUUCUCCCAAAUUGUGGAAGCGGUGGAACACUAGAAGAAGGAAGCCAAAUUGCAAAAAACUCUUUUCUAAUUUCUUCAAUUCUUCCUUCUUCACUGUUCGCCCCUGCCCUGCACUGGCUACACACAAGACACGACAGUGCCACCUGUCGGAUCGCAGGUUCGCCCCUGGUCUGAUAUGGUCGAUUUUUAUAUUCUUGUUUGGUGCUUAAAUAAUGUAAAAUUUCUCUCUGAAAUUUGGAUUUAAGGGUUUUUUUUUUUUUUGAUGAAUAACCCCGAUUCUAUCACGUGUAAGUGUAAUUAUAACUUAUAAGUUCACCAAAUUGUUUUCACUUUUCAAUGUCUAUUAUGACAUUAUGUAUUUAAUUAGAAAUGGAUUUUCUGCCUGGAUUUGUAUUAUGUAUUUAAUUAGCAAGUACAGUGGUUUGAAUUAGUUUUGGUCUAACACUUCCUCUUCUGACUUGUUUUGCCUAGAUUUGUUCAUCGUAAUGAACGAGAAAAGAUGUCUGUACCUACACACGAGAGUGACGAGACACUUCAUCCUUCGCUGGUUCGCAGCCUGUUUGUAUAAUUGUAUUUGCUAAGUGCUAAAUUGGCAAAUUUAAUUUUAUUGUGUUGUAAUUUGUAUGUGCUAACUGCUCAACACCAUGUUUAAAAUUAAGGGUAUCAAUUUGGCGUGAAAUUGGCAUCGCCCAUAGACACUGAUAGAGUGUCUAAUUUUGGAUUAGAAUCGCAGAAUUCUUUGUCCACUUGGCGAGCAAGUUCUCUGGUUGGAGCCAAUAUUAAUGCCAAAGGAUUCCUUCCUCAGGUCGGUGACUUAAGUUAAUGUUAAAUAUGUUAUGAUUUAUUCCUUUGGGAAUUAAAAAAUUACAAAUUGUGAUUUAUGAAUUAUGAUAAGUAAUUUACGUUUUAUGAGUUAUGUUAUUGAUUCGGGAAUUUAUGUUUACGAAAUUAUAUUUGGGAAUUGUGAUUUAUGAUAAGUAAUUUAUGUUUUGAUGAGGAAUGAUUAAUGAUUUGGGAAUUUAUGUUUACGAAAUUAUGUUUGCAAAUUGUGAUUUAUGAUAAGUAAUUUAUGUUUUGUAAUUGAAAAA